rnacentral:tRNA from 1 species
AUUAAAUGGCUGAAUUUAGGCAAUAGAUUGUAAAUCUAUUUAUGGGAAAAAAUCUCUUUAAUCA